rnacentral:rRNA from 1 species
GCCCUUUAGAGUUUGAUCAUGGCUCAGGACGAACGCUGGCGGCGCGCCUAACACAUGCAAGUCGAACGGAAUCAAGAGGAGCUUGCUUUUCUUGAUUUAGUGGCGAACGGGUGAGUAACGCGUGAGUAACCUGCCCUGGAGUGGGGGACAACAGUUGGAAACGACUGCUAAUACCGCAUAAGCCCACGGUACCGCAUGGUACUGAGGGAAAAGGAUUUAUUCGCUCUAGGAUGGACUCGCGUCCAAUUAGCUAGUUGGUGAGGUAACGGCCCACCAAGGCGACGAUUGGUAGCCGGACUGAGAGGUUGAACGGCCACAUUGGGACUGAGACACGGCCCAGACUCCUACGGGAGGCAGCAGUGGGGGAUAUUGCACAAUGGGGGAAACCCUGAUGCAGCGACGCCGCGUGGAGGAAGAAGGUUUUCGGAUUGUAAACUCCUGUCGUUAGGGACGAUAAUGACGGUACCUAACAAGAAAGCACCGGCUAACUACGUGCCAGCAGCCGCGGUAAAACGUAGGGUGCAAGCGUUGUCCGGAAUUACUGGGUGUAAAGGGAGCGCAGGCGGACCGGCAAGUUGGAAGUGAAAUCCAUGGGCUCAACCCGUGAAUUGCUUUCAAAACUGCUGGCCUUGAGUAGUGCAGAGGUAGGUGGAAUUCCCGGUGUAGCGGUGGAAUGCGUAGAUAUCGGGAGGAACACCAGUGGCGAAGGCGACCUACUGGGCACCAACUGACGCUGAGGCUCGAAAGCAUGGGUAGCAAACAGGAUUAGAUACCCUGGUAGUCCAUGCCGUAAACGAUGAUUACUAGGUGUUGGAGGAUUGACCCCUUCAGUGCCG